rnacentral:rRNA from 1 species
GUCUGUGGCCAUACCACCCUGAACGUGCCCGAUCUUGUCUGAUCUCGGAAGCUAAGCUGGUUCCGGCCUGGUUAGCACUUGGAUGGGAGACCACCUAAGAAUACCAGGAGCUGUAUGCA